rnacentral:tRNA from 1 species
GCCUGGCUAGCUCAGUCGGUAGAGCAUGAGACUCUUAAUGUCAGGGUUGUGGGUUUGAGCCCCACUUUGGUCG